rnacentral:lncRNA from 15 species
AACAAAUAAAAACACCUUUACUGUCGUCAUUGAUUGAUUCAUAGUUCGAUCUUCAAUUGAUUUAUUGACUUUAUUUCAUUUGAUCAGUCUUUGUUCACAGGACCUGAUCAGAUAGUAAAACGUGAUUGAAUCAACAUUGACAUAUUGUCAGGCUGAAGAUUGUAAUCAACAUUGAUGUCAGAUAAUGAAAUAUACAUUGAAAGUGCUCACUAUGAUCAACAUUUAAAGGAGACAUAUUAUGCCCCUUUUCAGGUUCAUAAUUGUAUUUUGUGGCUCUACUAAUAGGUUUAGAUGUUUUAAUGUUCAAAAAACACAUUUUUCUCAUAGUGCCUAUAGCUGAGCACCUCUUUUCAGCCUCUGUCUGAACGAUUGGUUUUAGCUCCUGUCUCUUUAAGGCCCUCCUCCCGAAAAGCCCAGUCUGCUCUGAUUGGUCGGCAUUAUGACGCAGAUGAUGCUCUGGUCCCUCCCACUUUCGCCUCAGCGUUGCCGGCAGUUAGCUCCUCACUGCUACUGAGUUUAGCUGCAUUUCAACCGUCAAUAGUAAUUCAAUAACUGCUUCUAAACCAAAAACUUCACCAGUGGACAUGUUAGAGGGGGAGUCUGACCUGAAAUCACGGAGAAAUGAACAACAUCAACAAUCAGGAUUACAACUUUCUGUGACGUUUUCCUCAGGUACAGCAGUGAGCAGUGACCUACAGUCUACACAGCCCAGUGAAGUUAAACAUAUUAUAUACCUGCAAUACUUGAUCCUGUACAACAUGUCAACAUAACUGAAGGAAUUACUCAUCUAAUAAAGUAACUUGUUUAUGUGCUUUAAAAACUGCUAAGUAACCAACUGUAAGUAACCAACUGUAAUGUACUGUAUCCAUAUUUCAUAGUCUGAUAUUUUAACUUGAAAGUAUUAUUACCAACGUUAACCUUCAGAUAUUUGUAAAAGCUGCAAUUAUGUUUGAACCCCAUUAAAAAUACUGAAUAUUCUAUCAUUUAUAUUAUAUAUUAUGAUGUCAUUUAUCUUCCAAUAUAAGGUUUAAAUUUAAAGGCCAGGUUUAAAUUUAACAUUUUCAUAUUGAUAGAUGUUACACGAACCAGGUUUUCAACUCUUGUAGAACUAAAACACUUUAUGUUUCAUUCAAAUUCCAGUUACACAUGUUGCAAGUAACAAAGCUAGAACUUUUAUGUAAACUGUGCAGAUCAUGUUCUCCAUCAAGGUGGUUUCUAGUAUACUGAAGUGUGAGCUGGUAAUGGAGCUCUGCAGUCAGUGUUCAUCUUGAUGAGUCUUCCUUUGGAUACCCAGAGUGUCCUGAUGCUGCAGCUGUCUCUGUCCUCUGAUGGGUCCAGGAACUCCUGAGCUUCAUCAGGUCACCUGUAAAACAAGGCAGAUUCAGUGUUACCUGUAAGGCAGCAUAUCAUAAACAGUAUAAUAUAAUACAAUACAGUAUAAUAUAAUACAAGUACAACAGCUCAUUGUGGCUCAAAGUAGUCCUAAGUUAUAAAAUAAAAUAAUAAAGCAGUGUCUCUGGUGGUUCCUUGUUGCAGCUAACUGUAGUGAUGUGGUGUUGAAACAGUCUGAGGUUACCAACACAAUGUCUAUCUAAUGGCAGCAGAUACACACACAGGACAUUUACUGACUGUAACUGAUGUUGUAACAAGUUCCUGGUGCAAUAACAGACAUUUAGCAGUGAGCCUCAGUGUUUAUAAUACAAUAGGAGAUUAUAUGAGUAUGAGAUGUUACACUGGACCUACACUUAUAUCGUCAGUCAUAGCAGUACUUCAGUAAUGCUAAAUAUAUGGAUCAGAAAACCUUUAUUUUGACUCCACAAAAUGCCUAGCGAAAACCCUAACCAGCUGCUCGGUGCUAAUCAAAGUUACAGAAUAAUACUAAACUAAUUAAUCCCUGCAGUUUGAUUAUUUCUCUCUCACAGUAGUUCUAUUGUUAACUCUGGUGCACAUUGAUCAAGUUAAUUUACAUUCAGCAGCACACACACACCUGAACAAAGCAGAAGAACGGCUUCAGAGAACCAACAAAGCUAACGCUAGCUGAGAUAGCCUUAGCACGUCAGUAGAAAGUUACACAAGAAGACCAGGACGGAAGCCGCACUGUUCUUCUUCAAUCAGAGGUUGUCUGUGUGCUGCUGUAUGUAAAUUUACCAGAGGUAAAGAUAGAGCUACUGUGAGAGAGAAAUAGUCAAACUGUGAUCAAGCCUCCUUAGAAGUUAACAAAAUACGGGGAGAAGGUUAUGGUGAUUAUUUUUCAUGAUGCUUCUUGUGUAACUUUCUACUGACGUGCUAAGGUCAUGAAAAAUAAUCACCAUAACCUUCUCAGGUUGUGUUUGUGUAGGUAACUCUGAUGAGUAAUUAAUCACCGGGACCCUGAGGUCUGCAUUUGGGAAGGUCGAGCUGGCCAUUCUCAGCAUAUGUCUCAACUGUUUGAGAGAUGUUUUAUGUGGCUCUUUGUCCCGGUUAUUAAUGCCCACCGAGAGGAUCACCACCUUUGUCUCCUUGUUGGCUGGUGUUUUUUCUAAAAUUCUGCCAAACUGGUACAAAAUGGCCCCUGGAUAGCUGUCAGCCUGAAUGUCCUGAUGUGAAAAUUUGGGGAUUCUAUUGAUGUUUGAAUCACCCAGUAUGAGUAUUGGUUUGUUACUUUUAAAUUCCCAGUCUUUUAGUUUACGGCUACUGCCAGCCCGGUGGCAGGUGGGUUCAAGGGUCAGGCUCGUAUCUGCAACUCUGGUGGGAGGAGCGAAGACCUUGGCGCGUGCUCCCAGCUGGUGUGAGUUAGGAUGUUCU